CAGCAGCCGCGGUAAUACGAAGGGUGCAAGCGUUACUCGGAAUUACUGGGCGUAAAGCGUGCGUAGGUGGUGGUUUAAGUCCGUUGUGAAAGCCCUGGGCUCAACCUGGGAAUUGCAGUGGAUACUGGGUCACUAGCGUGUCAGAGGAUGGUGGAAUUCCCGGUGUAGCGGGGAAAUGCGUAGAGAUCGGGAGGAACAUCAGUGGCGAAGGCGGCCAUCUGGGACAACACUGACGCUGAGGCACGAAAGCGUGGGGAGCAAACAGGAUUAGAUACCCCAGUAGUCCCUGUCUCUUAUACAC
rnacentral:rRNA from 1 species